GACGAACGCUGGCGGCGUGCUUAACACAUGCAAGUCGAACGGAAAGGCCCUGCUUUUGUGGGGUGCUCGAGUGGCGAACGGGUGAGUAACACGUGAGUAACCUGCCCUUGACUUUGGGAUAACUUCAGGAAACUGGGGCUAAUACCGGAUAGGAGCUCCUGCUGCAUGGUGGGGGUUGGAAAGUUUCGGCGGUUGGGGAUGGACUCGCGGCUUAUCAGCUUGUUGGUGGGGUAGUGGCUUACCAAGGCUUUGACGGGUAGCCGGCCUGAGAGGGUGACCGGCCACAGUGGGACUGAGAUACGGCCCAGACGCCUACGGGAGGCAGCAGUGGGGAAUAUUGCACAAUGGGCGGAAGCCUGAUGCAGCAACGCCGCGUGCGGGAUGACGGCCUUCGGGUUGUAAACCGCUUUCGCCUGUGACGAAGCGUGAGUGACGGUAAUGGGUAAAGAAGCACCGGCUAACUACGU
rnacentral:rRNA from 1 species